UUAUCGUGGGGAUUCGUCCCUAUCGAGAUAGCACCCUUUGUCUAUGAGUACCUUCUGUUUCCUCGGCGGGCUUGCCCGCCAACGGGGACCACAUAAACCCUUUGUAAUAGCAGUAACUUCUGAUAACAAACAAAUAUUAAAACUUUCAACAACGGAUCUCUUGGUUCUGGCAUCGAUGAAGAACGCAGCGAAAUGCGAUAAGUAGUGUGAAUUGCAGAAUUCAGUGAAUCAUCGAAUCUUUGAACGCACAUUGCGCCCUUCGGUAUUCCGUAGGGCAUGCCUGUUCGAGCGUCAUUUAAACCUUCAAGCUCUGCUUGGUGUUGGGUGUUUGUCCCGCCUCCGCGUGUGGACUCGCCUCAAAAGUAUUGGCAGCCGGUAGAUCGGCUUCGUGCGCAGCAGAAUACGCGCGUCGAGGCCCCUCUGUCGCUUUCCAGAAGCCCUUUUUUUUUAUCUUGACCUCGGAUCAGGUAGGGAUACCCGCUGAACUUAAGCAUAUCAAUAAGCGGAGGAAAAGAAACCAACAGGGAUUGCCCUAGUAACGGCGAGUGAAGCGGCAACAGCUCAAAUUUGAAAUCUGGCUCUUUCAGGGUCCGAGUUGUAAUUUGUAGAGGGUGCUUUGGUGUCGGCAGCGGUCUAAGUUCCUUGGAACAGGACGUCACAGAGGGUGAGAAUCCCGUACGUGGCCGCUUGUCUUCACCGUGUAAAGCCCCUUCGACGAGUCGAGUUGUUUGGGAAUGCAGCUCUAAAUGGGAGGUAAAUUUCUUCUAAAGCUAAAUAUUGGCCAGAGACCGAUAGCGCACAAGUAGAGUGAUCGAAAGAUGAAAAGCACUUUGGAAAGAGAGUCAAAAAGCACGUGAAAUUGUUGAAAGGGAAGCGCUUGCAGCCAGACUUGCCUGUAGUUGCUCAUCCGGGAUUCUUCCCGGUGCACUCUUCUGCGGGCAGGCCAGCAUCAGUUCAGGCGGCUGGAUAAAGACCUGUGUCAUGUAGCUCCUCUCGGGGAGUGUUAUAGGGCAGGUGAAAUGCAGCCAGC
rnacentral:misc_RNA from 1 species